GGCCAAGUAGUAUAGUGGUUAGUACUCCACGUUGUGGCCGUGGCGACGCAGGUUCGAUUCCUCUCUUGGGCA
rfam:Enterobius vermicularis genome assembly, scaffold: EVEC_scaffold0002143